rnacentral:rRNA from 1 species
AUGAACGCUGGCGGCGUGCCUCAUCCAUGCAAGUCGCGCGAACGGACGAGAAGCUUGCUUCUCUGAUGUUAGCGGCGGACGGGUGAGUAACACGUGGAUAACCUACCUAUAAGACUGGGAUAACUUCGGGAAACCGUAGCUAAUACCGGAUAAUAUUUUGAACCGCAUGGUUCAAAAGUGAAAGACGGUCUUGCUGUCACUUAUAGAUGGAUCCGCGCUGCAUUAGCUAGUUGGUAAGGUAACGGCUUACCAAGGCAACGAUGCAUAGCCGACCUGAGAGGGUGAUCGGCCACACUGGAACUGAGACACGGUCCAGACUCCUACGGGAGGCAGCAGUAGGGAAUCUUCCGCAAUGGGCGAAAGCCUGACGGAGCAACGCCGCGUGAGUGAUGAAGGUCUUCGGAUCGUAAAACUCUGUUAUUAGGGAAGAACAUAUGUGUAAGUAACUGUGCACAUCUUGACGGUACCUAAUCAGAAAGCCACGGCUAACUACGUG